rnacentral:piRNA from 1 species
UUGGCGUCACUGUUGCCAUGGUCACCUGC